rnacentral:tRNA from 1 species
GCCCUCGGUGGCUCAGACGGAUAGAGCGUCUGCCCUGUAAGCAGGAGAUCCCGCGUUCGAGUCCCGGUCGGGGCA